rnacentral:rRNA from 1 species
AUGGCUCCCAGCUGCUGCAAGCUUCUUUGCGCCUCCUCCCGGCUGCUCUUUGCAGUGUCUCUCCUCGCCGUUGCCACCCACGCCGCACGCCCAAAUCCCGUCAGAAUCGCCGUCUACUGGGGCCAGGGCGGCGGGGAGAGCACCCUCAACGAGACAUGCAGCACGGGCCUCUACAGCCAUGUGAACAUCGCCUUCCUCUCCGAGUUCGGCGGCGGCCGAGCCCCGGUCCUCAAUCUUGCCGGGCACUGCGAUCCCACCUCCGGUGGCUGCGCCGCUCUAGCCGCGGACAUCGCGUCCUGCCAGUCCCAAGGCGUGAAGGUGCUUCUCAGCAUCGGCGGCGGAAUAGGCUCCUACGGUCUCUCCAAUGAAACCGAUGCGCAGAACCUGGCCGCAUACCUCUGGAACAACUUCCUCGGCGGAAGCCCCAGCUCCAGCCCGCUCGGCGGCGCCAAGCUGGACGGCAUCGACUUUUCCAUCGCCACUGGCAGGGACGACUACUACGACGAACUCGCCAAGAACUUGAAGACGAUGUACAACUCUUCGGACCUAGCAAGGGCAGGCAACAAGACGCACAUGCUCACCGCCGCGCCGCAGUGCCCGUACCCAGACAAGUUCCUCGCCCCGGCGCUCAAGACAGGGCUGUUCGACCACGUGUGGGUGCAGUUCUACAACAACCCGCCGUGCGACUACGCCAGCGGCACCCUGCAGAGCGCGUGGAACACGUGGACGGCGGCGCUGCCGUCGGCGUCCGUGUUCCUUGGACUGCCGGCGUCGCCCGAUGACGCGGCUAGAGGGUACAUAGACGUGGAGACACUCGCGUCGCAGGUGCUCCCGAUGGCGAGGAGCGCGGCCAACUACGGCGGGGUUAUGCUGUGGAGCCGCCGCCACGACGAGCGAACCGGAUACAGUGCUAAGUUACAGGACAUAGCGAACAACACCGUCGGUACGCAACGAUCUUGCACUUUUCUAGUAUUUGGAAUGGCAUGA